CAUACGACCGUACCGCAAACCGACACUGGUGCGCGAGAUGAGUAUUCUAAGGCGCUUGAGAGAACUCAGGAGAAGGAACUCGGCAAAUUGACACCGUAACUUCGGAAGAAGGUGUGCCCUAUUAGUGUGUAGUGAACAACGAAGCAUGAAUGGGUUGCAAAAAAUCGGUGGCUGCGACUGUUUAUUAAAAACACAGCACUCUGCAAACACGAAAGUGGACGUAUAGGGUGUGACGCCUGCCCGGUGCUGGAAGAUUAAAUGAUGGGGUGCAAGCUCUUGAUUGAAGUCCCAGUAAACGGCGGCCGUAACUAUAACGGUCCUAAGGUAGCGAAAUUCCUUGUCGGGUAAGUUCCGACCUGCACGAAUGGCGUAACGAUGGCCACACUGUCUCCUCCUGAGACUCAGCGAAGUUGAAAUGUUUGUGAUGAUGCAAUCUCCCCGCGGAAAGACGGAAAGACCCCAUGAACCUUUACUGUAGCUUUGUAUUGGACUUUGAACAGAUCUGUGUAGGAUAGGUGGGAGGCUUUGAAGCAGGGUCGCUAGAUCUUGUGGAGCCAACGUUGAAAUACCACCCUGGUGUGUUUGAGGUUCUAACCUAGGUCCAUUAUCUGGAUCGGGGACAGUGCAUGGUAGGCAGUUUGACUGGGGCGGUCUCCUCCCAAAGCGUAACGGAGGAGUUCGAAGGUACGCUAGUUACGGUCGGACAUCGUGACGAUAGUGCAAUGGCAUAAGCGUGCUUAACUGCGAGACUGACAAGUCGAGCAGAUGCGAAAGCAGGACAUAGUGAUCCGGUGGUUCUGUAUGGAAGGGCCAUCGCUCAACGGAUAAAAGGUACUCUGGGGAUAACAGGCUGAUACCGCCCAAGAGUUCAUAUCGACGGCGGUGUUUGGCACCUCGAUGUCGGCUCAUCUCAUCCUGGGGCUGUAGCCGGUCCCAAGGGUAUGGCUGUUCGCCAUUUAAAGAGGUACGUGAGCUGGGUUUAAAACGUCGUGAGACAGUUUGGUCCCUAUCUUCCGUGGGCGCUGCAGAUUUGAGGAAGCCUGCUCCUAGUACGAGAGGACCGGAGUGGUCACACCUCUGGUGUAUCGGUUGUCACGCCAGUGGCAUUGCCGAGUAGCUAAGUGUGGAAGAGAUAACCGCUGAAAGCAUCUAAGCGGGAAACUCGUUUCAAGAUGAGAUCUGCCGGGGCCUUGAGCCCCCUAAAGAGUGAAGG
rnacentral:rRNA from 1 species